AUUCCGUGAUGAGGGCACUUUCGUAAUAACUCUUUGAAUCUUUCCCAUGCCUCAUACAAGGACUCAUCAUC
rnacentral:snoRNA from 1 species